rnacentral:lncRNA from 1 species
GUCUGCUCCUUCUCAAGUCAAUUCUGCAGGCACAGGAGGGGCAGCAUGGAAGGAGCUAGGGACUCAUUGUAUAACCUUAGUAGGUCUGGAGUGCACUAGGGUCCGAUGCAGCAUGUGGGCUCUGCCUGCACCCAAUCUUAGCAAAUGGAGAAAAGAGCAAGAAUAUCUAUGACCGUGGUGGUCAGGUAAAACCUGACAGUGAGACUGCGUUGGCUACAGAAACAAACAGAGCCCUGCUCAGACCCUAAGAAACCCACAGCAGUAAACAGAAAAUGACUGCAAAGGAGCCUUCUGGGAGGGACUGACUCUCACCUGUGAUGGGCAGCUACGCCGGCACCAUCAACGGAGACGGAGAGACCCCUGAGACUUAUACAUGCCAGGACAGCGCUUCCACUGAGCCUCCCCCAAUCACUGAAAUGAGUCUUAUAAAGCACCGGAAGAGCAGGAGCGCCACGGGUGGGUCUUACGUCACAGACCCUAUGACAAGAAAAUGGGUUACGCAGCAUUUGCGCAUCCAUCUGUGAAGGUGGCUGGCGGUUAGGCUCCUCUACAACUUUCCCGAGUGUCAUCAAGUUUACCUAUGACGACUUGGGUGUGCUUGUGAACUUUCAGCUUUGAACAUGGGGGCUCCCAGGAAGGAGCAGAAGCGGACAUGGAAGGAGGAGAGAGGAAGGCGGAAGUGAUGUGAUUAUAUUUUAAUUAAAAUGUAUUAAAGAUAAAACUAUAUAACUGAA